AGUAAUCGCUGCUGCAGGUGCCGAAAGGCCGCAGGAGAGGAAAGUCCGGGCUUCACAGGGCAGGAUGCCGGAUAACGUCCGGUGGAGGUGACUCCAAGGAAAGUGCAACAGAAAUAGACCGCCGUCAGAGCUUGCUCUGGCUGGUAAGGGUGGAAAGGCGGUGUAAGAGACCACCGUUUUUCUGGUAACAGAAAAAGCCAUGUAAACCCCAUCCGAAGCAAGACCGAACAGAAACGCAGGUGGCCCGCUAGUUUCAGGUUGGUUGCUUGAGGCGAUUGGCGACAGUCGUCCUAGAUAGAUGAUUACUCACGACAUAACCCGGCUCAUCGUCUUGCUUCU
rnacentral:RNase_P_RNA from 1 species